rnacentral:rRNA from 1 species
UACGUAGGGGGCAAGCGUUGUCCGGAUUCAUUGGGCGUAAAGAGCGUGUAGGCGGCCAGGUAGGUCGGUUGUGAAAACUGGAGGCUCAACCUUCAGAGGUCGACCGAAACCAUCUGGCUAGAGUCCGGGAGAGGAGAGUGGAAUUCCUGGUGUAGCGGUGAAAUGCGCAGAUAUCAGGAAGAACACCCGUGGCGAAGGCGAGUCUCUGGACGACUCCUGACACUGAGGCACGAAAGCUAGGGGAGCAAACAGG